rnacentral:rRNA from 1 species
UUCUCUGGUUGAUCCUGCCGGAGGUCACUGCUAUUGGGAUCCGAUUAAGCCAUGCGAGUCGAGAGGGUUCGGCCCUCGGCAUACUGCUCAGUAACACGUGGAUAACCUACCCUAAGGUGGGGGAUAAUCUCGGAAAACUGAGAAUAAUACCCCAUAGAUCUUGGAUGCUGGAAUGCACUUAGGUUUAAAGCUCCGGCGCCUUAGGAUGGGUCUGCGGCCUAUCAGGUAGUAGUGAGUGUAAAGGACUCACUAGCCGACGACGGGUACGGGCCAUGGGAGUGGUUGCCCGGAGAUGGACUCUGAGACACGAGUCCAGGCCCUACGGGGCGCAGCAGGCGCGAAAACUUCGCAAUGCGCGCAAGCGCGACGAGGGGAUUCCAAGUGCAUGCACUAAGUGUAUGCUGUUUAUUAGUCUAAAAAGCUUGUAGAGUAAGGGCUGGGUAAGACUGGUGCCAGCCGCCGCGGUAAUACCAGCGGCCCUAGUGGUGAUCGUUAUUAUUGGGCCUAAAGCGUCCGUAGCCGGUUCGGUAAAUCUCUGGGUAAAUCGAUGGGCUUAACCCAUCGAAUUCUGGGGAGACUGCUGGACUUGGGACCGGGAGAGGUCGGAGGUACUCCAGGGGUAGGGGUGAAAUCCUGUAAUCCUUGGGGGACCACCGGUGGCGAAGGCGUCCGACCAGAACGGGUCCGACGGUAAGGGACGAAGCCCUGGGGCGCAAACCGGAUUAGAUACCCGGGUAGUCCAGGGUGUAAACGCUGCGCGCUUGGUGUUGGGGGUCUCAUGUGGGCACCCAGUGCCGGAGAGAAGUUGUUAAGCGCGCCGCCUGGGGAGUACGGUCGCAAGACUGAAACUUAAAGGAAUUGGCGGG